rnacentral:rRNA from 1 species
GACGAACGCUGGCGGCGUGCUUAACACAUGCAAGUCGAGCGGUAAGGCCCUUUCGGGGGUACGACGAGCGGCGAACGGGUGAGUAACACGUGGGUGACCUGCCCUCAGCUCUGGGAUAAGCCUGGGAAACCGGGUCUAAUACUGGAUAUGACUCCAUGACGCAUGUUGGUGGGGUGGAAAGCCUUGUGCGGCUGAGGAUGGGCCCGCGGCCUAUCAGCUUGUUGGUGGGGUGANGGCCUACCAAGGCGACGACGGGUAGCCGGCCUGAGAGGCGACCGGCCACACUGGGACUGAGACACGGCCCAGACUCCUACGGGAGGCAGCAGUGGGGAAUCUUGCGCAAUGGGCGAAAGCCUGACGCAGCGACGCCGCGUGAGGGAUGACGGCCUC